AACGAACGCUGGCGGCGCGUCUUAAACAUGCAAGUCGAACGGCAGGAAGGGGCUUGCCCCUUCUGAGAGUGGCGGACUGGUGAGUAACACGCGGGUGACAUACCUUUUAGUUGGGGAUAGCUAUUAGAAAUAGUAGGUAAUACCGAAUGUGACCGUACCUGUUAGAGGGGUACGAGGAAAGGAGCUAAGGCUUCGCUAAAAGAAUGGCUCGCGGCCCAUUAUGCUCGUUGGUGAGGUAACGGACCACCAAGGCGAUGAUGGGUAACCGGCCUGAGUGGGUGAACGGACACAUUGGGACUGAGAUACGGGCCAGACUUCUACGGGAGGCAGCAGUUAAGAAUAUUCCGCAAUGGACGGAAGUCUGACGGAGCGACGCCGCGUGGAUGAAGAAUGCCGAAAGGUUGUAAAAUCCUUUUAAGCCUGAUGAAUAAGCACAGUAGGGAAUGAUUGUGCGGUGACGGUAGGGAUUGAAUAAGCACCGGCUAAGUACGUG
rnacentral:rRNA from 1 species